AGAAGGCGCCGGGGCAAGCGGCCUGUUGGCGCCCAGUUUCAGCUGGCUGUUCCCGCUAGCAUCAGGGCUCGAUCGUAGAGGACGCGGCAGCCGCAGCUCGCGGAGAACAGCGGGCAGAGCUGUGGGCUGCACGCGCCCCUGCAGCCACCGGGCGUCCCGCAGAGGCUCCCGCGCCCUGCGGCGACUUCCGCCCCCGCGCUCCCCUUUGUCCGAGUCCCCAAGCGGCGGCGGCGGGGUAGGAGCCCACGCCGUGGGCGACUGAGGCGGCGGCAGUCCGCGUCCCGGCGCCCUGGAGAUGCCGGACCAGAUCUCCGUGUCGGAAUUCGUGGCCGAGACCCUUGAGGACUACAAGGCGCCCACGGCCUCUAGCUUCACCACGGGCACGGCCCAGUGCCGGAACACCAUGGCGGCCAUCGAGGAGGUUAAGCUGUUCCCCGGAAUGUUUUAACAACAGGGCAUACCCAGGUGAAUUAUACCCUUUUGGGGUUCAGACCUCGCUCAACUGGAGACCUGCCUGUCUGUGCAAAGCCCAGUGCCCCACAUGAAUGGAUGCAGUGACUUAUGAUGAUGUGCAUGUGAACUUCACUGGGGAAGAGUGGAAUUUGCUGGAUCCUUCCCAGAAGAGUCUCUACAAAGAUGUGAUGCUGGAGACCUACUGGAACCUCACUGUUAUAGGCUACACUUGGGAAAACCAUCAUAUUGAAGGACAUUGUCAAAGUUCAAGAAGAAAUGAAAGGUUUAGUCUCCACUGCCAGCUGCCAUGGGCAAGCAGAACAGCAAACUGGGUCCUGAGGUGCUGCAGGACCUGCGGAAAACAGGGAGUUCACCCACCAUGAGCUUCAGGAGUGGUACAAGGGCUUCCUCAAUGACUGUCCCACUGGCCACCUGACUGUGGACAAUUUCAAGAUCUAGGCCAACUUCUUCCCCUACAGAGAUUCCUCCAAGUUUGCUGAACAUGUCUUCCACACCUUUGACACCAACAGCGACAGCACCAUCGACUUUCAAGAGUUCAUCAUUGCUCUGAUCAUGACCUCUCGGGGCAAGCUGGAACAGAAGCUCAAGUGGGCCUUCAGAAUGUCUGAACUAGACAGCAAUAGCUACUUCAGCUGCAGUGAAAUGCUGGAGAUAGUGCAGGCAAAAUGUCCCUGGAAGAAUUCAACAAAGGUGCCAAGAGUGACCCAUCCAUUGUCUGGUUGCUGCAGUGUGAUCCCAGCAGUGCUAGCCAGUUCUCAGGGGAAUGGGCUUUUACACAGUUGUGAGAAGCACAGUCUUGACCUGCCAUCUUCAGCUUUGCUUGCAAAAGUGGAUUUCUCCGUGAUUUCUCCUGCUCUCUCGGGACCUGGGUCCAGACAGCACAUCACACUCACCUGGUCUAGCUGGAUUCAGCUCCCUCCUCUAUCUGACCCAAUAGAUGUCCGUCCCCAUCCAGUCCAGGCUGGUUCCUUCCAAGGUUUCAAGUGUUCUCAGCUGUAGGGCUCCUUCCCUCCCCACGGAGGGCCUGGAGGCCCUUAAGGACACCAGACAGGACUUUUCAGUAUCUUACCGAGACCAGCUGAUUUAUUCUAUGAUCCCAGCUGACUUUGUGAGCAUGAAGAAGAUGGAGAGUAGAUAGGCAAGCCCUUCCUGUUCAUGGCUCCACCUCCCUUGUUCAUUUUCUCCAACCACAGCUGCUUGCAUGUAUAUACCGUGGUAUCCUUACUUUUAAUAUAUAAGUUUUGUAUAAAGUGAGAAGUUUCAGCCCCUGUAUUUAAAGCCUCUGACUGCCUUUAAAGCAUGGUCCCCUGUGGCUUGUGAUUCUCCCCACCCCCAAAUCUAGCUGUGCUGUGGUAUUUAAGUAUUCAUUUGCCUAAUUAUACAGGAUAUACAUGCAUGCCCAAGGCUGUGGACAUCUGCCCUCCGUCCUGCAAAUACAGGUUUUCUUGGGUGCUCCAUCCUUCCUUUCCAUUGACCUGGAAUAUUAAAAUGGUCAAAUAAACCAA
rnacentral:lncRNA from 1 species